GCCUACGGGGCGCAGCAGUGGGGAAUAUUGGACAAUGGGGGAAACCCUGAUCCAGCGACGCCGCGUGAGUGAAGAAGUAUUUCGGUACGUAAAGCUCUAUCAGCAGGAAAGAAAAUGACGGUACCUGACUAAGAAGCCCCGGCUAACUACGUGCCAGCAGCCGCGGUAAUACGUAGGGGGCAAGCGUUAUCCGGAUUUACUGGGUGUAAAGGGAGCGUAGACGGCAGCGCAAGUCUGGAGUGAAAUCCCAUGGCUUAACCAUGGAACUGCUUUGGAAACUGUGCAGCUGGAUUGCAGGAGAGGUA
rnacentral:rRNA from 1 species